rnacentral:rRNA from 1 species
GCCUAAAGAAAAGCUCGCGGCUGAUUAGCUUGUUGGUAAGGUAAUGGCUUACCAAGGCGACGAUCAGUAUCUGGUUUGAGAGGACGAUCAGACACACUGGAACUGAGACACGGUCCAGACUCCUACGGGAGGCAGCAGUGGGGAAUUUUCCGCAAUGGGCGAAAGCCUGACGGAGCAAUACCGCGUGAGGGAAGACGGCCUAUGGGUUGUAAACCUCUUUUUUCAGGGAGGAACAAAAUGACGUGUACCUGAAGAAUAAGCAUCGGCUAACUCCGUGCCAGCAGCCGCGGUAAGACGGAGGAUGCAAGUGUUAUCCGGAAUCACUGGGCGUAAAGCGUCUGUAGGUGGUUUGUUAAGUCAACUGUUAAAUCUUGAGGCUCAACUUCAGAUCAGCAGUCGAAACUAUCAGACUAGAGUAUAGUAGGGGUAAAGGGAAUUUCCAGUGGAGCGGUGAAAUGCGUAGAUAUUG